UUGGAAACUGGCGAACUUGAGUGCAGUAGAGGCAAGUGGAACUCCAUGUGUAGCGGUGGAAUGCGUAGAUAUAUGGAAGAACACCAGUGGCGAAGGCGGCUUGCUGGACUGUAACUGACGUUGAGGCUCGAAAGUGUGGGUAGCAAACAGGAUUAGAUACCCUGGUAGUCCAUACCGUAAACGAUGAAUGCUAGGUGUUAGAAGGUUUCCGCCUCUUAGUGCCGAAGCUAACGCAUUAAGCAUUCCGCCUGGGGAGUACGACCGCAAGGUUGAAACUCAAAGGAAUUGACGGGGACCCGCACAAGCGG
rnacentral:rRNA from 1 species